CCUACGGGUGGCAGCAGUGGGGAAUAUUGGACAAUGGGCGAAAGCCUGAUCCAGCCAUGCCGCGUGUGUGAAGAAGGCCUUCGGGUUGUAAAGCACUUUCAGUGGGGAAGAAAGCCUUGGGGCUAAUACCCUCGAGGAAGGACAUCACCCACAGAAGAAGCACCGGCUAACUCCGUGCCAGCAGCCGCGGUAAUACGGAGGGUGCGAGCGUUAAUCGGAAUUACUGGGCGUAAAGCGCGCGUAGGCGGUCUGAUAAGCCGGUUGUGAAAGCCCCGGGCUCAACCUGGGAACGGCAUCCGGAACUGUCAGGCUAGAGUGCAGGAGAGGAAGGUAGAAUUCCCGGUGUAGCGGUGAAAUGCGUAGAGAUCAGGAGGAAUACCAGUGGCGAAGGCGGCCUUCUGGACUGACACUGACGCUGAGGUGCGAAAGCGUGGGUAGCAAACAGGAUUAGAUACCCUGGUAGUC
rnacentral:rRNA from 1 species